UGUAAACUCACCCAAAACAUCAGUCGUUUCUUGAAGAAAGCAGCUGUCAUAAGUUAUAAAGUUAAUUAUUAAUUCUUAAUUAUAAAUUUCUUAGGAUUUAUUUAAUGAACUAAUUCGUGUGUCAAUCAAAUUGCUAUUAAAAUUAUUCAAAUAAGAUUCGGAUGAACAUCAGUAGCCAGAGUGCUGUCAACAAUCUAACCUUAUGUUGUUUGUCCAUAAUAAUAAAUUUAAUUAAUUAAAAAUAUAACAGAAAUGUGCAAACAAAAAAUAAUAAAUCAGGAGAUCAAUGGAUAUUUUUUUUAAGUUGACGUCCAUUUGUACAUUGACCACUAAAUCGAAGGAAUUUUUUACUAAGAGACACAACAAUAGUCAUUUCAUCAACACAACAAGAAAGAUGUGCAGAGUCAUUGCUAAAUUAUUUAUUUUUAAUAUAUAUAUUUAAAUAUAAAAAAUACCGUUGAUAAGUAGAAUUAUUAUUGAAUUCUUAAUUAUUAUUAUACAUGCAUAACAUAUAUGUCUAGUCGUAGUUUAUUUUUUGUUAGUCUUGUUUAAUAACGAUUUAAAAGAAAAAAAAUUAAUUAUUUUUCGCAAGUUUUCUUUUUCAAUUUUCUUAAAUACAAAAAUUGUAAAUCAAAUUUUUUUUUAUUUUUAAUAUUUUAAUCUCUGGGGAUGAUAAAUUUAAAUACAGAUGUAUGAAUAAUUUAAGUAUCGAAAAAAAAAGUAUUAGUAAACAAUUAAUUCACUGCAAUUAAUGAAAUCAAGUAAUUAAUCUGAACGCAUUAGUGUAAUAGAGGCAUGUACUUUAAGAUUUUUGACACGACUGAAUUUAAAUAAUUUAUAUUAUCGGUUUUUUAAAAAUUUUUAUUCAUUAUCUUAUGAUUAUCUUAUAAUUAUAUAAAUCUGUUCACUAAAUAACAUUUAAAUUUUAAUGGACAAUAAAAAUUAUUAAUUAUAAGUUUUUAAAAAUUUAAUUCUACAAUAAUAAUAUUAUUAAUAAUUAUUAAAAUAAUCAUAAAGAGAGACAACGAAAGAAUUCGUUUAUAUCUAUGUAAUAAAUCUACAUAUCUGGACAUCGAUGAAUUCUGUACACUGUACAUUUAUUGGAUCAGUUUUAUAAGUUUUUUUUUUCUUUUCCAUGUAUCCAAUCAUGAGAUUUAUAUCAAUUAAUAAUAUAUUGAAUAUUAACAACGACUUUUGUUCUUGGUAUUCUUGAUUAGCGUUCUACAAUUGACAAUUAGCUCGAUUAAUAUUUCAAGGCUAAUUAUUAAUAAAUUGGAUGAAUUUAUUUGCUAUUUAUUAUUUUUUUUAAUUCAUUUUGUCUGAUAGUUAAAUAAAUGAAAUCAUUUACUUAAAAGUGAUUUUUUUUACAAUGACUCAAUAACUCGAGUAAAAAAAUUAUUAAUGAAUGAAUGAUUGAAAGAAAAAUAUAAAUU